GAUUAAAUAGUGCGCGCGGGGCGGAGCCGGGUAGCCCGCGGGCCGCGCAUGCGCCGCCUUGCCUCUGGCAGCCCUGCCUGCCCUGGUGAGGUUCGGCUGUAACUGUCGCCCAGUCGGGAUGACUUCGCCCCAGGCCUCCCCACGAGGACGUCGGUGCGAGGAUGGCUGGCUCCCUUUCCUUAUUUGGAGGAAACAACAAAAAUCAACAAACGUAACGAAGAAAACAGCUGCAGUGCUCACCGAGUAAAGGACCCACAGUUUCUAAGCAUGUCCACGAAUGCGACUCCGAUGAGACCAUCUACGUUCAGGAUAAGAUUUGGCUUCUGGGAAGGCAACACAUUCAAAGCAUUUAUCAUUAUUUCUCAUUUUUUCUUCAUAAUUUUCCACUGUUACUACUAUUACUACGAAUUGUGACCAUCAUUUAAAAACUUCUACCAGCCCCACUGGUUGACACUGUGUCUGACUCAGUUCAAUUUCCAGCAUCUAGCAACAUACCCAACACCUAGCUGACAUUUAGUGCAUGUCUGUUAAAUUUAGUUACGAAACAAAAAUAACAUUUCCAGAAAACUAGGUUUGCUUUUAGCUGCAUAAUCAAAAUGUAACCUGGCUCCUAUUUCCUCCAAUAAAUUUGUCCAACGUAA